rnacentral:rRNA from 1 species
CAGUCGCCACGGUAAUACGGAGGGAGCUAGCGUUGUUCGGAAUUACUGGGCGUAAAGCGCACGUAGGCGGUUAUUCAAGUCAGAGGCGAAAGCCCGGGGCUCAACCCCGGAACUGCCUUUGAAACUAGAUGACUAGAAUCUUGGAGAGGUCAGUGGAAUUCCGAGUGUAGAGGUGAAAUUCGUAGAUAUUCGGAAGAACACCAGUGGCGAAGGCGACUGACUGGACAAGUAUUGACGCUGAGGUGCGAAAGCGUGGGGAGCAAACAGGAUUAGAUACCCGCGUAGUCCCUGUCUCUUAUAC